CUCCCGUGUCCCUGGGUGGAGAGGGACCGAGGGAGGGAGCGCACAGCCGGGAUGGUUGCUAUAGAGACGGAUCCGCUGGCGUUGUUGAGCCAUUUUUAUACACAGACCAAUCCCGGCAGGCUCGGGUUCCCUCUAACUUUUUUUUUUCCCUUUCAAAAUUUCAAUCUAAUUAUAUCGCCCUGCUGUACACGAUUGCACAGCCACGACAUGGGAUAAAAAAGGGGUGAGUAGUUGAAGUUUGCGGUGCGUUUAAGUUAGCUCCGCGUUUACUUGCAGUAUUAUAAUUAUUAUGAUGGACAUAAGCUCAUCAGAGACGUCAGCCCUCCUCCUUGAUACAUUGCAUUUUAAUUGCAAGCAUUUGAACUAAACGUGGAAAUUAUUUGGCAAUAAAGUACCUGGAGGUCAUUAACAAAGAGGAAAUAGUACAGAUCAUUCCUCUCCAAAUGUGGAAGUUAAUUCCGAGCCUACGUGAGAGCGCCCACAGCCCUGAGCCCGCAGAGCUGAGCUUCGCUUCACUUCACAUCGAGGAGCUGCCUUGUGCUUGCGAAAAUAACACUUUUGUCCUAACUUGAAGAAGCCACAGGAAAUUAAAUUCGAAAACCUCAAAGCUGUAAGAGCUGAAAGGGCCGCGCAGCGAGGGUCUGUACGAGUGUAGCUACAGACGCCGUCGGCUUUCUCUUCUCUGCUCGGUGUUGACCCCGAACCCGACCGCCGUCCUUCAGCUGGAGGGGUUAGUUAGACAAGAAGCACAUCAGCGGAUGAACGAUUUAUUUUCCUCCUCGCAUUGCACGCAGGGUGAAGGUCAGGCUGACAGACAUCGUUAUCAAGGGCUGCGACUUGCAGGAGUGCUUCACCCUGUUGUACUGCACGUACGGGACGUGUAGCCCAUUACAGAAGACCCAUGCCGGGUAUUUACUAACAGUGUGUGACUGGCGCCCCAUUUAUCACUCCUGCCCUGACAUCAUCACCUCCUGUCCACCUCAAGCCUGCAGUCGGUACAAUCUCAGGUCAGGGCUAAGGCUGCCUGUAAAAACCUUGUGCUUUGGCACAUUAAGACUCUUAACUGGGUACCAGUACUGUUGGAAUUAAAUUAGUUGGCUGUGCUGUAUGUGUCACACCGUGCUUCUGUUGACAGUGCCAUAAGAGUCAUUUGUUUAUUUGCAUUAAAUAUUUUAAGUGUUUAUUAUGAAUAUUCACUGCACUUCUCCAGGCUGUUACAGUUUAAAGUAUUUGGGUGAUUUAAAAUAGUCUGUGAAGACUACCAAUUAGCCUAAGAAGAAGUAUCAGGUUUGAGGGAGGAGAUACACAUCCUGUGCUGUGUAGCCAAAAUAAUCUGAAAUCCCACUUCUUUAAAUCACCUUGGCAACGGUGCAAGCACCGCUGUUCCAUGGGGCUUCUGAUUCUGUUCCAGAAAUGGGGAGUGGUGUUUCUGGGGAUGCAACACACCUUGGGCCUAGGUACUGUAGCUGAGGAGAGCGUCCAUAAAAUCGACCAAACCAGACCCAGCUGCUCGCAAAAACAGGAGCAAAGGGUCAGGCUGAAAAACACACUGCCAUCUCUUCUCUGGCAUGACCCAAUUGGAGAUCCGACAGUCGUCUCCCAGUCUGGAGCAGCACGGCGAGGCUGUAAGGGGGCGGGAGGUGUCUCAGAUAAACCGCCUAAUCCCCCCUCCCCUCGGCGGCACUCAGCCCAUAGCGCCCCUCGCCCGCUGGACCCCCUGUCACAGUCGGCUGCAGAGAAGAACGUCACGAUUGUCACACGGGAGAGAAGGCCGUUCGGCCCCAGUUGGCUGCAGGAACUUGGCUGGGUAGCUUGUUCCUAUCAUGCCUCCGAUUCUUCCACUAGAAACACAGACCCGCAUCUUCCCUGACGGGGAACCGGGCCAUGACAGUGAGCCUCUAGAGCAUGAGGGAGUCGCCAUGACCCAGCCUCGAACCUGUGACUAUAGCGCUCUACCUGUGUGCAAGCAGCCUUACCCACUGAGCCCACUGGGAGACACCAGGAGUCACCUUUCAAGAGGUGUUUAAGUCGGUGGGUGUUAUGAUUUGCUGUUUAUUUUAGCUCUUCCCCGGGAUGCCUGACAAUGACACAAGUUCAACACGUUCUGUAUUUACCUCAAAAACUGUUAGUUAAAAGGCAGUGUGAAGGGCAGCCAUUCUUCAGAGUUAUUUUACAGUGCUAGUAAAAGGUUGCUAGGGCUCGUGUUUUCAGAGUGUAUGACAGUUUGCAUGGUCCCUUGUUAGGGAAAAUGAUAUGAUAUUCAGUCUAGAAAAGGUCACACUGAUCAAGCCUUUGUCUCAUUGAGUUGUAGAAUGCAGCAUCUUGGGAACAGCUAGGGAAUCUGCUUUUAUAUUUUGAAGACUAGUUGAUAACUGUGCUGCAAGUGAAAGACACCAGGGCCAUAUUUUAUCUGAGUGAGUAAGCUUUCUGGUUAUACAGGGAAAAAAAAUCAUAUUGUUACUGUAGAUUGAUGUGGGAAUAUUUGUGUGUGCAAGAGAUAUACAACAGGACAUUGUAACAUUCCCUCCAACUAUCAGCAGGGUUGCCAGUGCUCUCUCAAUACUGUUUAUGUUUUUCUCUGUGAGAUAUAGAGCAAUCUCUGGCAUCUCAAAAAAGUACAUGGCAAUCCACCUGUGGGCCCAGAUCUUUUCUUUUCACCAAGACAUAAGUAGCUCCAGAUCCAUAACAUUGUUAUGCUAUUGUGUUAAAACAUUGUAAAACUGCAUGGUUUCUGAAUCUUUAUAAUUGCUGUCAAUUACACUGCAUUGCUAUACUUUAAUACACCAUCGGUGAAGUUAACCUGUGGCAAACCUUGUUCUCUUAUCAGCCUUGUUUGUUUUCGAAUUCGAUUUGAAAAUACUGUAUAAAAGGACACAUACUGUAUUGCAGCCUACAGGCAGAUUGAUGUGACUUAACUCUUCUCUUUUGUGCUCCUCUGCUCACAUUGGGUCAGCGUCCUUACCUCAUCAAUUUCAUUUAUUGUUUUACUUCAGGCUGCCUGAUGUUUGUAUACAAUAUUCCAAAUGUUGUUGUAUUAUGAGGGUCAUUGUUCUUACUUUUUCCUGAGAGCUAGAUUUUAAAUGUUCGCCAUGAGCUAAAUGUAGUGCCUUAUGCUUUUUGUGACAUUUUUCUUAAU